rnacentral:rRNA from 1 species
CCUACGGGAGGCUGCAGUGAGGAAUAUUGGUCAAUGGGCGCGAGCCUGAACCAGCCAAGUCGCGUGAGGGAAGACGGCCCUACGGGUUGUAAACCUCUUUUGCCGGGGAGCAACGUUCGCCACGUGUGGCGCCCCUGAGAGUACCCGGAGAAAAAGCAUCGGCUAACUCCGUGCCAGCAGCCGCGGUAAUACGGAGGAUGCGAGCGUUAUCCGGAUUUAUUGGGUUUAAAGGGUGCGUAGGCGGGGCGUUAAGUCAGUGGUUAAAUUGAGGGGGUCAACCCCUGCCCGCCAUUGAAACUGGCGCUCUUGAGUGGAAGAGAAGUAUGCGGAAUGCGUGGUGUAGCGGUGAAAUGCAUAGAUAUCACGCAGAACCCCGAUUGCGAAGGCAGCAUGCCGGCUUCCUACUGACGCUGAAGCACGAAAGCGUGGGGAUCGAACAGGAUUAGAUACCCCUGUAGUC